rfam:Ciona savignyi cont_42090, whole genome shotgun sequence.
GCCCGGUUAGCUCAGCCGGUAGAGCGUUGGACUUUUACUCCAACGGUCAAGGGUUCAAGUCCCUUAUCGUGCU